rnacentral:lncRNA from 1 species
UGCUUCUGUCCCCUCCGCCUCUGCGUUUCUCGUCUGCAUUCUUCUCCGCGCGCUUUCCUCCUGCGGGGCUCGGGAGUCGGCCGGUGCGUCCUCUCCGCUGUCGCGCGGCCUCCUGGGCUCCAUCGCCCCCCUCUCAGGGACACGAUUACCUCCCCCUUCGAUCGGCCCCAGGUUGUCAGGCGGCCCCACGACAGCCUGGCAGGGUGAGCGGUGUCCCCAGUUUAUGAACGAGGAUUCAGGCACCACCGACUCCAGAUCACGAAGACUGCACCGUCCGUGGGCGAAGACAGAGCUGGGUCCAGCACUCUUUCCAGCGGGGAAAUGACACGACCCAGUUCGUGUGCUCUAGAGCUCAGCGCUAUGCACCCAAUGUGGCCCCAAGAAAGACAGAGACAAGCACCCCGGGAGCCUGAGGGCACGUCUCCCUGCGGCGACAGGGGGCAGGCCCCAUCCCAGCAGUGGAAGAGAGGAGGGGGCCGGGAGGCCCUGGUGGAUGCGUCUCAGAAGCAGCCCACGACCGUACUGGUGCCCUUUGCUCUGGUCCGGCUCUCCUCUGGGAUGUCCCGAGUGGCUUCGCUGGACGUCAUUCUCCUGCAGGACCUGGAGGAGGGAAGCACUGGGCCCCAGGACCCCCAAGCCAAUCAUCUGAGCCUGGGGCUCUCAGGGCCGAGAAAAGACCAGGGGUUUGGGUGUGCGAGCGGGUGUGCCUCUGUGUGUCUAUGUCCGUGUGCCUCUGUGUGUAUCUGUGUGUGCGUCUGUGUGUCUGCAGACCUCUCCCAGCCGCAGAGAGGGAGGCUUGACCCCUCGGCCCAAGGAGGUGGUGGUAAACUCAGGGUGCCUCCCCGCCGAGCCUCUCGUGUCCUGCCGCCGCCGCGGGAGGGGCCUGCCUCAGCUACUCCCGGGCUCACAGGGGCCUGAGCCGGCGGGCGCCGAGGACCCGGGCCCCACCGACACUGGCCUAGGAGCGCAGCCUCAGUCUCACUGCCCGGUCGGUUCUGCCCAAGGUCACCGCGCGCCGCUCUGAUUCCCUGCCCCCGCGCCCCUCGCCUGUUCUCCGCGUCUCGGCCUCUCGCCGCCCCCCUUCCCGGAGCCGCUCUCGGGGCUCCAGCUCCCGGAGCCGCAGCGUCAGCACAUCCGGGCCUCGCUCGGUUUGGUUCUGAGUUUUCUUAAAUCGUGAAAAUCCAUUUCCCCAAAUGGGCGGGAGCUGAGCCUCGCUUCGUCCAGGGGCGGUCGGCCGGCCGCCCCGUCCCCACCCCCAGCGCGACCCCCGAGGCCCGGCAUUGAUCCCGCAGCAUGUGCACAUCGCAUUAGUCCUAAUGGUUUCGCUGAUGAUUCAACUUUUUCGUUAAAAGCCACCCCUCCAUCCUCACCGCUCCCCUGCCUCCGCCUCUGCCGGCCGCGGGCCCCUCCGCGGCGCGCCCGCCCAGAGCUUCCUUGGCCGGUAGAGACGCGGCUCCUGCAACCCGGGUCUGCC